AUUGAACGCUGGCGGCAGGCCUAACACAUGCAAGUCGAGCGGAUGAAGGGGGCUUGCUCCUGGAUUCAGCGGCGGACGGGUGAGUAAUGCCUAGGAAUCUGCCUGGUAGUGGGGGAUAACGUCCGGAAACGGGCGCUAAUACCGCAUACGUCCUGAGGGAGAAAGUGGGGGAUCUUCGGACCUCACGCUAUCAGAUGAGCCUAGGUCGGAUUAGCUAGUUGGUGGGGUAAAGGCCUACCAAGGCGACGAUCCGUAACUGGUCUGAGAGGAUGAUCAGUCACACUGGAACUGAGACACGGUCCAGACUCCUACGGGAGGCAGCGGUGGGAAAUAUUGGACAAUGGGCGAAGGCCUGAUCCAGCAUGCCGCGUGUGUGAAGAAGGUCUUCGGAUUGUAAAGCGCUUUAAGUUGGGAGGAAGGGCAGUAAGUUAAUACCUUGCUGUUUUGACGUUACCAACAGAAUAAGCACCGGCUAACUUCGUG
rnacentral:rRNA from 1 species